rnacentral:rRNA from 1 species
AACUAAUGUGAAAAUGGAGAAUGGCUUCAUCAGAACUUGAAAGCUAAGCAGGAUCAUACCCAUUUAGUACUUGAAUGGGAGGCUCCCUGGGAAUAUCAGAUGCUGUAGGCU